rnacentral:tRNA from 1 species
GGUUACAGUCGGUAGAGCAGUGGACUGAAAAUCCUCGUGUCGGUGGUUCAAAUCCGCCCCUGGGCACCA